rnacentral:tRNA from 1 species
GCCUGGUUGGCUCAAUAGGUAGGGAAAGCAUCAGACUCUUGAUCUUGGGGUUGUGAGUUCAAGCCCCACAUUGGGUA